rnacentral:lncRNA from 1 species
CAAUCACCAACUUAGUCCAGUCUUACCACCAAACCUAACUUGCUUAAAAGGCUACUAAAUUGAGACAUUUCCUGCACCUACAUUUGCACACUAGUCGUCAUUUGGAAAUUUAAAGAGUGCAUUGCAAACCCUAAGUCUAAAAAGCCAAGACUUUAAAAAAUUUCAAAAUCUUGGUACCAAGCACCAACUUAGUGCAGUCUCACCACCAAAUAUAGCUUGCUUUUAAAGCAACUAAAUUGAAACAUUUCUUGCACCUAUAUUUUGACACUAGUCGUCAUUUCGGGAUUUAAGGAGUGCAUUGCAGCCCCUAAGUCUAAAAAACCAAGACUUUCAAAUGUUUCCAAAUCUUGGCACGAAUCACCAACUUAGUCAAGUCUCAACACCAAACAUAACUUGCUUAAAAAGCUACUAAAUUUAGACAUUUCCUCCACCUACAUUUUCACACUAGUCAUCAUUUGGGGAUUUAAAGAGUGCAUUGCAACCCCGAAGUCUAAAAAACAAGACUUUAAAUAAUUUCCAAAUCUUGGUACCAAGCACCAACUUAGUCCACUCUCACCAGCAAACAUAGCUUGCUUUAAAAGCAACUAAAUUGAAACAUUUCUUGCACCUAUAUUUUAACACUAGUCGUCAUUUGGGAAUUUAAGGAGUGCAUUUCAGCCUCUAAGUCUAAAAAACCAAGACUUUAAAAAAUUUCAGAAUCUUGGUGCCAAGAACCAACUUAGUCCAGUCUCAUAACCAAACAAAGCUUGCUUUAAAAGCAACUAAAUUGAAACAUUUCUUGCACCAAUAUUUUGACAAUAGUCGUCAUUUAGGGAUUUAAGGAGUGCAAUGCAGCCCCUAAGUGUAAAAAACCUAGACUUUCAAAUGUUUCCAAAUCUUUGCACGAAGCACUAACUUAGUCCAAUCUCACAACCAAACAUAGCUUGCUUGAAAAGAAACUAAAUUGAAACAUUUUUUGCACCUAUGUUUUGACACUGGUCGUCAUUUGGGGAUUUAAGGAGUGCAUUGCAGUCCCUAAGUCUAAAAAACUAAGACUUUCAAAUGUUUCCAAAUCUUGGCACGAAGCACCAACUUAGUCCAGUCUCACAACCAAACAUAGCUUGCUUGAAAAGCUACUAAAUUAAAGCAUUUCUUGCACCUAUAUUUUGACACUGGUCGUCAUUUGGGGAUUUAAAGAGUGCAUUUCGGCCCCUAAGUCUAGAAAACCAAGACCUUCAAAAAUUUCCAAAUCUGGGUACCAAUCACCAACUUAGUCCAGUCUCACCACCAAAUAUAACUUGUUUAAAAAGCUACUAAAUUGAGACAUUUCCUGCACCUACAUUUUGGCUCUAGUCGUCAUUUGGGGAUUUA